AAUUCAAUGAUUUCAACUUCACCGCUGACCAGCCACGUCUCACCGCCUUGGGACGAUUGACCCCCCUGAUCUGCGCCAGCCAGAGCCUCUGCUAAUGAAUCU